rnacentral:rRNA from 1 species
AUACGUAGGGGGCGAGCGUUAUCCGGAAUUAUUGGGCGUAAAGAGUACGUAGGUGGUUUCCUAAGCGAGGGGUUUAAGGCACUGGCUUAACCAAUGUUCGCCCCCCGAACUGGGGAACUUGAGUGCUGGAGAGGAAAGCGGAAUUCCUAGUGUAGCGGGGAAAUGCGUAGAUAUUAGGAGGAACACCAGUGGCGAAGGCGGCUUUCUGGACAGUAACUGACACUGAGGUACGAAAGUGUGGGGAGCAAACAGGAUUAGAUACCCUGGUAGUCCACACCGUAAACGAUGAGCACUAGGUGUCGGGCUCGCAAGAGUUCGGUGCCGCAGUUAACGCAUUAAGUGCUCCGCCUGGGGAGUACGUACGCAAGUAUGAAACUCAAAUGAAUUGACGGG